rnacentral:rRNA from 1 species
UACAGAGGCCUCAAGCGUUGUUCGGAUUCAUUGGGCGUAAAGGGUGCGUAGGCGGCGCGGUAAGUCGGGUGUGAAAUUUCGGAGCUUAACUCCGAAACUGCAUUCGAUACUGCGGUGCUUGAGGACUGGAGAGGAGACUGGAAUUCAUGGUGUAGCAGUGAAAUGCGUAGAGAUCAUGAGGAAGACCAGUGGCGAAGGCGGGUCUCUGGACAGUUCCUGACACUGAGGCACGAAGGCCAGGGGAGCAAACGGG